rnacentral:rRNA from 1 species
AACGAACGCUGUCGGCAUGCCUAACACAUGCAAGUCUAACGACACCUUCGGGCCUCGUGGCGUACGUGUCCGUCACCCGUGGCAACCUGCCCUUAGCUCCGGCUUAACUCCUCGAAUGGGGUUCUACUACCGGAUAAUCUCUUCGAACCCAUGAUUUAUCGCCUUUGUAUGGGCUCGCGUUGGAUUAGCUAGUUGGUAGGGUAAAAGCCUAGCAAGGUGACGAUCGUUAGCUGGUCAGAGAGGAUGAGCAGCGACACUGGGGCUGAGACACGGCCCAGAAUCCUGAGGGAAGCAGCAGUGGGGAAUAUUGGACAAGGGAAGAAAGCCGGAGCCAGCAAUGCCGCGUAAGUGAUGAAGGCCUUAGGGUUGUAAAGCUCGUUUACACGGGAUGAUAAUGACAGUACCGGGAGAAUAAGCUCCGGAUAACUCCGUG